UACGGGGGGGGCAAGCGUUGUCCGGAUUUAUUGGGCGUAAAGAGCUCGUAGGCGGUCCGUCGCGUCGGCUGUGAAAACCCGAGGCUCAACCUCGGGCCUGCAGUCGAUACGGGCAGACUAGAGUGCGGUAGGGGAGACUGGAAUUCCUGGUGUAGCGGUGAAAUGCGCAGAUAUCAGGAGGAACACCGAUGGCGAAGGCAGGUCUCUGGGCCACUACUGACGCUGAGAAGCGAAAGCGUGGGGAGCGAACAGG
rnacentral:rRNA from 1 species